GGGGAUUUAAUCCAUAGGAGGCCUUUUAAGCUGAUGGUCGUGGGUUCGAUCCCCACACUCCCCA
rnacentral:tRNA from 1 species